rnacentral:rRNA from 1 species
GAUGAACGCUGGCGGCGUGCCUAAUACAUGCAAGUCGAGCGAACGGACGAGACGCUUGCUUCUCUGAUGUUAGCGGCGGACGGGUGAGUAGCACGUGGAUAACCUACCUAUAAGACUGGGAUAACUUCGGGAAACCGGAGCUCAUACCGGAUAAUAUUUUGAACCGCAUGGUUCAAAAGUGAAAGAUGGUCUUGCUGUCACUUAUAGAUGGAUCCGCGCUGCAUUAGCUAGUUGGUAAGGUAACGGCUUACCAAGGAAACGAGGCAUAGCCGACCUGAGAGGGUGGUCGGCCACACUGGAACUGAGACACGGUCCAGACUCCGACGCGAGGCAGCAGUAGGGAAGCGGCCGCAGUGGGCGAAAGCCUGACGGAGCAACGCCGCUUGAGUGGUGAAGGCGCUCGGAUCGUAAAACUCUGUUAUUAGGGAAGAACAUAUGUGUAAGUAACUGUGCACGUCUUGACGGUACCUAAUGAGAAAGCCCCGGCUAACUACGUG